UACGUAGGGUGCGAGCGUUGUCCGGAAUUAUUGGGCGUAAAGGGCUCGUAGGCGGUCUGUUGCGUCGGGAGUGAAAACUCAGGGCUUAACCCUGAGCCUGCUUCCGAUACGGGCAGACUAGAGGUAUGCAGGGGAGAACGGAAUUCCUGGUGUAGCGGUGAAAUGCGCAGAUAUCAGGAGGAAUACCGGUGGCGAAAGCGACUCUCUGGACGGCAACUGACGCUGAGGCACGAAAGCGUGGGGAGCAAACAGG
rnacentral:rRNA from 1 species